rnacentral:rRNA from 1 species
UACGUAGGGUGCGAGCGUUGUCCGGAAUUAUUGGGCGUAAAGGGCUCGUAGGCGGUUUGUCGCGUCGGGAGUGAAAACCAGGUGCUUAACACCUGGCUUGCUUUCGAUACGGGCAGACUAGAGGUAUGCAGGGGAGAGCGGAAUUCCUGGUGUAGCGGUGAAAUGCGCAGAUAUCAGGAGGAACACCGGUGGCGAAGGCGGUUCUCUGGGCAUUACCUGACGCUGAGGAGCGAAAGUGUGGGGAGCGAACAGG